UACGUAGGCAGCAAGCGUUGUUCGGAAUUACUGGGCGUAAAGAGUGUGUAGGCGGUGCUCUAAGUCUGUUGUGAAAUCUCCCGGCUUAACUGGGAGGGUGCGGCGGAGACUGGAGUGCUAGAGUGUGGGAGAGGUAAGCGGAAUUCCUGGUGUAGCGGUGAAAUGCGUAGAUAUCAGGAGGAACACCUGUGGCGAAAGCGGCUCACUGGACCACAACUGACGCUGAGGCGCGAAAGCUAGGGGAGCAAACAGG
rnacentral:rRNA from 1 species